AGUGGCGGACGGGUGAGUAACGCGUGAGAAUCUGCCUUGGGGUCGGGGACAACCACUGGAAACGGUGGCUAAUACCGGAUAAGCCUUUUGGUAAAAGAUUUAUUGCCCUAAGAGGAUCUCGCGUCUGAUUAGCUAGUUGGUGAGGUAAGAGCUCACCAAGGCAGCGAUCAGUAGCUGGUCUGAGAGGACGAUCAGCCACACUGGGACUGAGACACGGCCCAGACUCCUACGGGAGGCAGCAGUGGGGAAUUUUCCGCAAUGGGCGAAAGCCUGACGGAGCAAGACCGCGUGAGGGAGGAAGGCUCUUGGGUUGUAAACCUCUUUUCUCAGGGAAGAAGCUCUGACGGUACCUGAGGAAUCAGCCUCGGCUAACUCCGUGCCAGCAGCCGCGGUAAUACGGAGGAGGCAAGCGUUAUCCGGAAUUAUUGGGCGUAAAGCGUCCGCAGGUGGCGAUUCAAGUCUGCUGUCAAAGCACGGGGCUUAACUCCGUAAAGGCAGUGGAAACUGAAUAGCUAGAGUGCCGUAGGGGUAGAGGGAAUUCCCGGUGUAGCGGUGAAAUGCGUAGAGAUCGGGAAGAACAUCGGUGGCGAAAGCGCUCUACUGGACGGCAACUGACACUCAGGGACGAAAGCUAGGGGAGCGAAUGGGAUUAGAUACCCC
rnacentral:rRNA from 1 species